AAUUUUGGACAGAGGGGGGAACUCUGACCCAGCCAUCCCGCGCGUGUGAUGAAGGCCUUCGGGUUGUAAAGCACCUUUGUCAGGGAAGAAACAACACCGCCUAAUACCCGGUGCCAAUGACGGUACCUGUACAUUACGCACCGGGUAAGUACGUGCCAGAAGUCGCGGUAAUACGUAGGGUGCAAGCGUUAAUCGGAAUUACUGGGCUUAACGGGUACGCAGGCGGCUAGGAAAGAAGGAUGUGAAAUCCCAGGGCUCAACCUUGGAACUGCAUUCUUAACUGCCUAGCUAGAGUAUGUCAGAGGGGGGUAGAAUUCCACGUGUAGCAGUGAAAUGCGUAGAUAUGUGGAGGAAUACCGAUGGCGAAGGCAGCCCCCUGGGAUAAUACUAACGCGCAGGUACGAAAGCGUGGGGAGCAAACA
rnacentral:rRNA from 1 species